rnacentral:rRNA from 1 species
CAAUCCAAAACCCUUAUUGAGUAACAAUUAGAGGGCAAGUCUGGUGCCAGCAGCCGCGGUAAUUCCAGCUCUAAUAGCGUAUAUUAAUACUGUUGCAGUUAAAACGCUCGUAGUUGAACUUAGAAUUAUUACAAGUUAUUUUACUUGAUUGUAAAAUGCUUGCUUAAUUCUUAUCUACUAGAUACUCUAUUCUGUACUUAAUUGUAUGGAAUAUCACCUAGCCAGUGGAACUUUGGUGAAAUAAUGCCUUUUUAAUACCAGAGUGUAAAAACUUGAAGUGUUAAAUUGGGAUAACAUUAUUUUAUUGAAGCGGGGUUCUAGUUAAUUUACUUUGUAGUAAAUUAGAGUGUUCAAAGCAGCCUCUUGGGGCUUUGAAUAGAUUUAGCAUGGGAUAAUAGAAUAGGAUUUGAUAAAUCUAUUUGUUGGUUUGAAUUAAUCAAAUAAUGAUUAAUAGGGACAGUUGGGGGG